GCCUGGCUGGUUCAGUUGGUAGAGCAUGUGACUCCUGAUCUUGGGGUCAUGAAUUCAAGCCCCAUGUUGGGCG
rnacentral:tRNA from 1 species